rnacentral:lncRNA from 10 species
UUGCCUUUUCUUAGUUGUUUCUGUCUGUCUUGUAGCUCUUUAGUCCUUUUCUUUUCUUGCUCUCUUCCUUUGUAAUUUUGUUGACUGUUUGCAGCUGUUGGAGGCCGCACAAAUGUUUCUUAUAAUGAGGCAUAAUUGAAGCCUGUCAGUAACAAUAUGAACCUGUGGUCAAUUAAGCAGCUGACCAAUCGUUACCUCCUCCUUCUUGCUCUUGUUACCCAAUAAAUAAGAAGGGUUGUGGAAGCUCAGGGGCUGCCUUUCCUCACUAGAAGCAGGGAGCUCUCUUCUUCCCCAUGCUAGCCUUUCCUUAAAAUAGUUACUUUUGUUUUCUGUUAUGAUUUCUAUGUUCGUCCGUUCAUUCAGUCUUGUAAUGACAGUCUCAAGCAGUAACAGCAGUAACUGCUGUAAUGACGGUCUCAAGUAGUAGUAGUGGCAGUCGGCCACAUUUUAUAAUUUCUAUCUCUUUGCUGAUAUUCUCAUUUUGAUUAUGUAUCAUUUUCCUGAGCUCACUGAGCACCUUAAUGUCUGUCAUUUUAAAUUUUUUCACAGAUAAUCUAUAUACUUUCACUUCUUUAUGACCAGUUUCUAGAGUUUUAGUUUGGAAUGGACCACGUUUUAUUGUUUUACCAUGCGUCUUGUAACUUUUUGUUGAAAUUCAUUCAUUUGAAAAACAACCACUUCUCCCCAUCUUUGAAGAUAGACAUCAUACAGGGAGAAGACAGAAACUGGAAGUUCCUUCUCAAUUGGACUUUACUGAGCUAGCAGGAAACAAUAUGAUUGAAAAUGAAAAUAUCUUUUGCUUCACUUCUUAUACGUAAAACUGUUAUCCAAAUCAGAAGUCUCCUCACUCUUAUCUUGAGCCAUACCUAGACCAAAAGGGUGACAUUAAGAAGAAGAGAGCACUGAACUUGGCAGGAAAAUCAGUAGGAGUAAGUGGCGGAGGCAUGGGACUGGCAGAGAUACGGCAGCCCCUGUGGAGAGGCUGUCUACAGAUAACAUAACAAUAACAACAGGAUCUGCGGGGUUCCUGCAUGCGUGUUGGCUUCACUGGAGAAACUAAUCAAGUGGUCUGAGUCAUUCAAGUUAUAGUCUAUUUGAAGACGAGUUGAAUCUGAAACAAUGAGUAAGAUGAUGAGAGCUCGAUACUUAUGGUUUAAAUAUAAAAGGGGUAUCCCAACUCAGAAAGAGAGAGGAGAUCUGGAAAAAUCCUGCUUUCUGAAGCUUUUGACGGUAUUUUCAUACUGCCUGACUAAAGUGCAACAGCUACAUAUUGACAGGCGGUGGAAGGUGCAGUUUGGACACAGAGACUGACACACAGGAAGAAUACCAUGUGAAGACUGGAGUUUUGCAUAGAGAAGCCAAGGAGCUACCAGAAGCUAGGAGAAUGGCCUGGAACAGACCUUUCCUUAGUGCCUUCAGAGAGAGCAUGGCGCUGCCAACAUCUUGAUCUCAGACUUCCAGCAUCCUGAAUUGUGAGAUAAAUUUCUGCUGUUUAAACCAUAUAAUUUGUGAUACUUUGCUAUGGCAACUGUCACAGCUAUUAUAAGCACCUAACCCUUUUUUUAAUCUUUUAAGAAACUUUUUGCUUUCAUCUACUUUUUUUGUUCUGGUUAUUCCAUAUUUUACUUUAAGAUUUAGUCUUCUGUCAAUAAAGCAAUAAUUUCAGAUCAAUUUCAAUAAAAAAUUAAUAAUGUCCAAACA